rnacentral:rRNA from 1 species
GUAGGUGGCAAGCGUUGUCCGGAAUUAUUGGGGCGUAAAGCGCGCGCAGGCGGUUCUUUAAGUCUGAUGUGAAAGCCCACGGGCUCAACCGUGGAGGGUCAUUGGAAACUGGAGAACUUGAGUACAGAAGAGGAAAGCGGAAUUCCACGUGUAGCGGUGAAAUGCGUAGAGAUGUGGAGGAACACCAGUGGCGAAGGCGGCUUUCUGGUCUGUAACUGACGCUGAGGCGUGAAAGCGUGGGGAGCAAACAGGAUUAGAUACCCUGGUAGUCCACGCCGUAAACGAUGAGUGCUAAGUGUUAGGGGGUUUCCGCCCCUUAGUGCUGCAGCUAACGCAUUAAGCACUCCGCCUGGGGAGUACGGCCGCGAGGCUG